UGUAUAAUUAUUUAAGCAUGUAGGGGUAUAGUUCAAUGGUAGAACGGCGGACUUCAAAUCCGCGUGUUGUGGGUU
rnacentral:tRNA from 1 species